GAAAUUGUUGUUGCAACAUACACCAAAGAUCAUGAAGAACAGCAAUAUGUUUGUGAUUUUUUCCCUGACGAUUUUUUUGACUCUACUAAGCCCUUCUCUAGGUCAAGUGAAGUUUUGCCCAGGAAGUUUUACCGCAGAUGGUGUAUGUGGGAGCAUUAGUUGUGGAAAUUUGGCAUUAUUUCAUUGGCCAGCAAGCUCUAUGCCUCAUAGUUGUGUAUGUGCUGAUGCUGGGGCAGGCAAAAGCCUUUGUACUUGUCAAAUCGUUUGUUAGAAUGACUAUCAUUUUAAUGUAAUAAACGGUUUUUAGAAUGGUUAUUAUUUUAA